rnacentral:rRNA from 1 species
AGAGUUUGAUCCUGGCUCAGGAUGAACGCUGGCGGCGUGCCUAACACAUGCAAGUCGAGCGUGAAAGUUUCUUCGGAAAUGAGUAAAGCGGCAGACGGGUGAGUAAUACAUAGGUAAUCUACCUUCGAGCUUGGGAUAACCCCGCGAAAGUGGGGCUAAUACCGGAUAAGACCACGUGGCAUACGUUACGCGGUAGAAGGUGGCUUGUAUUUAUACUGGCUAUCACUUGAGGAUGAGCCUAUGGCCUAUCAGCUUGUUGGCGGGGUAAGAGCCCACCAAGGCCAUGACGGGUAGUUGGUCUGAGAGGACGACCAACCACACUGGGACUGAGACACGGCCCAGACUCCUACGGGAGGCAGCAGUGGGGAAUAUUGGACAAUGGGCGCAAGCCUGACCCAGCGACGCCGCGUGGGUGAUGAAGGCCUUCGGGUUGUAAAGCCCUGUCAUGCGGAAAGAACAGUUUCACGGUUAAUACCCGUGAGAUUUGACGGUACCGCAGGAGGAAGCACCGGCUAACUCCGUGCCAGCAGCCGCGGUAAUACGGAGGGUGCAAGCGUUGUUCGGAAUUAUUGGGCGUAAAGGGCGCGUAGGCGGUAAUGAAAGUCAGAUGUGAAAUACUUCGGCUCAACUGAAGAACUGCAUCUGAAACUUCAUAACUAGAGUACGGAAGAGGGAAAUGGAAUUCCCGGUGUAGAGGUGAAAUUCGUAGAUAUCGGGAGGAACACCAGUGGCGAAGGCGAUUUCCUGGUCUGGUACUGACGCUGAGGCGCGAAAGUGUGGGGAGCAAACAGGAUUAGAUACCCUGGUAGUCC